UUAUGUACAUUACUACAACAUAUGGUUAAUGCACCAGAUCCCAUUAUAACUUCUUAUUUAAGUGUGCUUAGGCUAGAUUAGUACUGGAAUGGGUGACCACCUAGGCAGUCCUAGUGUUUUACAUGCC
rnacentral:rRNA from 1 species